AUAGGGACAAGCGAAUAAGUGCACAUGGUGGAUGCCUUGGCGAUUACAGGCGAUGAAGGACGUAGUAGCUUGCGAUAAGCUGCGGGGAGUGAGCAAACACACUUUGAUCCGCAGAUUUCCGAAUGGGGCAACCCACCCUUUUAGGGUAUUGCAUACUGAAUACAUAGGUAUGCAAGGCGAACGCGGCGAACUGAAACAUCUAAGUAGCUGCAGGAAAAGAAAUCAACCGAGAUUCCCAAAGUAGCGGCGAGCGAAAUGGGAAGAGCCUGUACGUGAUAGUCGGACCGAUAACAGAAUCCUCUGGAAAUAGGAGCCAUAGUGGGUGAUAGCCCCGUAUGUGAAAUCGGACCGGUGGUACUAAGCGUACGACAAGUAGGGCGGGACACGUGACAUCCUGUCUGAAUAUGGGGGGACCAUCCUCCAAGGCUAAAUACUCGUAAUCGACCGAUAGUGAACCAGUACCGUGAGGGAAAGGCGAAAAGAACCCCGGAAGGGGAGUGAAAUAGAUCCUGAAACCGUGUGCAUACAAACAGUAGGAGCGGACUUGUUCCGUGACUGCGUACCUUUUGUAUAAUGGGUCAGCGACUUACAUUCAGUGGCAAGGUUAACCAACUAGGGAAGCCGUAGAGAAAUCGAGUCCGAAUAGGGCGAUCAGUCGCUGGGUGUAGACCCGAAACCAAGUGAUCUACUCAUGGCCAGGAUGAAGGUGCGGUAACACGCCCUGGAGGUCCGAACCCACUAAUGUUGAAAAAUUAGGGGAUGAGCUGUGGGUAGGGGUGAAAGGCUAAACAAACUUGGAAAUAGCUGGUUCUCUCCGAAAACUAUUUAGGUAGUGCCUCAAGUAUCACCAUCGGGGGUAGAGCACUGUUAUGGCUAGGGGGUCAUUGCGACUUACCAAACCAUUGCAAACUCCGAAUACCGAUGAGUGCGAGCUUGGGAGACAGACGUCGGGUGCUAACGUCCGGCGUCAAGAGGGAAACAACCCAGACCGCCAGCUAAGGUCCCAAAGAUUGGCUAAGUGGAAAACGAAGUGGGAAGGCUAAAACAGUCAGGAUGUUGGCUUAGAAGCAGCCAUCAUUUAAAGAAAGCGUAAUAGCUCACUGAUCGAGUCGUCCUGCGCGGAAGAUGUAACGGGGCUAAGCCAGUCACCGAAGCUGCGGAUAU
rnacentral:rRNA from 2 species